UGGGGAAUAUUGGACAAUGGGCGAAAGCCUGAUCCAGCAAUGCCGCGUGAGUGAUGAAGGCCUUAGGGUUGUAAAGCUCUUUUACCAGGGAUGAUAAUGACAGUACCUGGAGAAUAAGCUCCGGCUAACUCCGUGCCAGCAGCCGCGGUAAUACGGAGGGAGCUAGCGUUGUUCGGAAUUACUGGGCGUAAAGCGCACGUAGGCGGCUAUUCAAGUCAGAGGUGAAAGCCCGGAGCUCAACUUCGGAACUGCCUUUGAAACUAGAUAGCUAGAAUCCUGGAGAGGUGAGUGGAAUUCCGAGUGUAGAGGUGAAAUUCGUAGAUAUUCGGAAGAACACCAGUGGCGAAGGCGACUCACUGGACAGGUAUUGACGCUGAGGUGCGAAAGCGUGGGGAGCAAACAGG
rnacentral:rRNA from 2 species